rnacentral:rRNA from 1 species
GUGUCAGCCGCCGCGGUAAUACGGAGGUCUCAAGCGUUGUUCGGAUUCAUUGGGCGUAAAGGGUGCGUAGGCUGUGGGGCAAGUCUGGUGUGAAAUCCCGGAGCUCAACUCCGGAACUGCACUGGAUACUGCCUUACUAGAGCACUGGAGAGGGAACUGGAAUUUACGGUGUAGCAGUGAAAUGCGUAGAUAUCGUGAGGAAGACCAGUGGCGAAGGCGAGUUCCUGGACAGUUGCUGACGCUGAGGCACGAAGGCCAGGGGAGCAAACGGGAUUAGAUACCCUUGUAGUCC